rnacentral:lncRNA from 1 species
AACUUUUGAAGGGUAAACCAAGUCUGGAUACUAAGUUAAUUGCUGGAGUACCCCCGGCUGAAAUUCUGGCCAGAUGUGAGUUUUUGGAGCCAUUAUCUGAAGCUACUUUGUCAGAUUAUGAGUGGCUGGUUGCUAAUCUGCAAAAACCUGCUCCUGUCUUGAUGAAAAGGGUGCAACGUUACUUGUCAUCAUUAAUCUUUAGCUAAAGGUACAUUGAAAAGUUCAUGGCACUGCAUACCAGUCAUUAUAAUUGGGCCAGGGCAAUUGGGUCUGGGCAAUUACGUCAGAGCAUAACUUCAUUAGGAAAAGAGGCUUCAGCUACGUUAAAUAUUACAGGAUGUACUGAGAUGGCUGAAGUUGUUGAGGUUGUACGAGAAACGAAAGAUGAGUGUUUGUUUGAACAAAGUUGUUGCCAAUCUUGCAGAGUUCGAGAAGAAAGAUCACGAAGCGAAUGCCACCGAUUUCUUCAUCAUUGUAGCCUCCAUAGUUGAAGUUUCCUCAUUUGAAGCUGUUUACGCAUAUGCUUUUUCCCUUCUCAAUUACAGGAAAUUGAAGAAUUAACCAGAUGUGAUAUGCUGAAAGAGGGAAGUUUUCUUCCUUGAAUGUGGUCUUUGUGAUUUGUCUUGAAGGAAUAGGGUGAUCACUGGCAAGAACCCUAUCAAGGUAGAUUUUAUGAUGUUAACAUAUCAUUAAGCAUUUUGUUACAUCAGCAAUGAUGCUUUCAUAGCAUGAAAGUGUUUAAAUUUAACUGAAUGAUCUUGAUUGAUCAAUUAUGAGUUUUAAUCGAGUAAAAACUAAAUACAAUAAUCGUUAACAAAUACUGAAAUUGGGUAAAUAUGAUCUUGAUAUUGAAGAAUUUGAAAUCACAACCCACACAGGAAAUCACCCUUCGCGUGGGGAUGGAGAUGUUUACUGCAGCGAUAUUGAAUAUGUCCACUGCUCUUUGGGUUAUGGUGCGGCUUGCGAUUUCAAGGUUGCCCUGAAACAAUGGAAAAGAUUAACAUACCCUCCAAUGAAUGAAAACGGCUGGACUAGUUCUGAUUACCUAAUUGACUCAGGAUCGGCUGGCAAUAAUAACAGUUUAUUAACAAUGCACAGUCCUAGUACUUUUCCAGGAUCAGAUACGACUUGGUCUAAUGUUGAUAUUAAUAGUUUAUUAAAUGACAAAUAAAAUACAUUCUGAGAGAUGCUGGUCUACUGUUGCAAGCCCCCAGAUUUAAGAAUCUUUUGAUGAUAAUUUAUCACCUGUAACUGUGCCGGAAGAUUCAACUAGAUGAUAAUUUAAUUGAUAUGGACAGUUUCCAACUUUUCAUAUCACUUUUAAAUCAUCUUAUGUAAUUGUGAUGUUAGGAAGCAUUAGUGAUCUACAUGUGAACUAUUAUUGGCGCCAUUGGUGGUUUUAUUUUAUUAAAAUAUGGAUGACUUCCCGAUACUAUUUAGUUGUAGAUAAUCUUAUCAAUUAACAUAUAGUUUAAAAUCAUUAUGCAAAUCAAUCUAUUAAUUUUCAUGAUAUUUAACUGAGUUAAAACUAAGUGCAUUCAAUAAAUCUCUCUUCCUUUAAAAAAUUGUUGCGCUUUAAUUUUAGUGCUUAAUACUUACUGAACUCCAAUACAGGAAAUUUGAAAUCAAACUCGUAACUACAGAUUAUCUAAUUGCAAGUUUCUAUCCAUAGCUGCUGAUUUGUAGUGAUUAUCUAAUUGACUGAGGUGACAACAAUUUUUUUUUUUAAUUAUCUAAUUGCAAGUUUCUAAAAAUUGUUGCGCUUUAAUUUUAGUGCUUAAUACUUACUGAACUCCAAUACAGGAAAUUUGAAAUCAAACUCGUAACUACAGAUUAUCUAAUUGCAAGUUUCUAUCCAUAGCUGCUGAUUUGUAGUGAUUAUCUAAUUGACUGAGGUGACAACAAUUUUUUUUUUUAAUUUUCAAUCGCACAAUGUGGAAUUCAAUAAUUAAAUUCUCCAGUAUAAUUUGUUUCAAGUUAAAUUAUUAAUUACUUAAACUCUGUUUUAAGUCUUUAAUUUUAUGUGUUUAUGCAGAAUUGGAUUCUCGGGACCCUUCAAUGAAUUUCUAGCCCCGUUGACUCCACCGACAAAAGUUUUGGAAAAAAAAAAAAAAUUAAUAGAAUUCCACCAAAUAGUUUGUAAUUGACCAAUUUCAAAAAAAUUAAAUUAUGUGGUUAUUAGCUGUAAUGAAAGGGGAUAGUAGGUGCAAUCAGGUGGAUCCUGGAAAGUUAAACAAAGUUUUGGUAUGGCGUAGUGAAAUUGGUUUGUGCAACUCAGGAGUCUUUCAGGUGAACGAUGAUAGGUUUUGAUUUAUGAAUAUUAUAAAUCUACUGUGCAUAGUAUUCUAGUAGAAUCAUCUAUAAGUUCUAGUUAUUGUAUACUUUGCCCGGUUUGAGUUAAGGGCACAUGUAAUAUGAAAGAUAGUUGUCGCAUCUUUUAGGUUACCUAACAUUUGAUCAAUCCUAUUAUGGGGGCUUCAAGAUGUCUAACAAUAUGUAGAAUGCCCAUGCUCCUCCCCAUUGUUUAUCAAUUCGUCACGCUGGUUAAGUUGCCUGAAGAACUUCUGGAGGGUAAACCAAGUCUGGAUACUAACUUAAUUGCUGGAGUACUCCCGGCUGAAAUUCUGGCCAGAUGUGAGUUUUUGGAGCCAUUAUCUGAAGCUACUUUGUCAGAUUAUGAGUGGCUGGUUGUUAAUCUGCAAAAACCUGCUCCUGUCUUGAUGAAAAGGGUGCAACAUUACUUGUCAUCAUUAAUCCAAAGCUUUCUAGCAAGAGCGACAUUGAAAAGCUAAUGGCGCUGCAUGCCAAUCAUUAUAAUGCUGUCAGGGCAAUUGGGUCAGGGCAAUUAGGUCAGAGCAUAACUUCAUUAGGAAAAGAGGCUUCAGCUACGUUAAAUAUUACAGGAUGUACUGAGAUGGCUGAAGUCGUUGAGGUUUUACGAGAAACGAAAGAUGAGUGUUUGUUUGAACAAAGUUGUUACUGCAGCGAUUUUGAAUAUGUGCA